GCCUGGGUGGCUCAGUAGGUUAAGCAUCUGACUUCGGCUCAGGUCACGAUCUCACAGUUUGUGGGUUCGAGCCCCAUGUUGGGCU
rnacentral:tRNA from 1 species